rnacentral:rRNA from 1 species
AUUGAACGCUGGCGGCAGGCCUAACACAUGCAGGUCGACCGAGUGGCGGACGGGUGAGUAAUGUCUGGGAAACUGCCUGUUGGAGGGGGAUAACUACUGGAAACGUUAGCUAAUCCCGCAUACCAUCAGAUGUGCCCAGGUGGGAUUAGCUUGUUGGGGGGGUAACGGCUCACCAAGGCGCGGAGCCCUAGCUGGUCUGAGAGGAUGACCAGCCACACUGGAACUGGGAACCGGGCCAGACUCCUACGGGAGGCAGCAGUGGGGAAUAUUGCACAAUGGGCGCAAGCCUGAUGCAGCCAUGCCGCGUGUAUGAAGAAGGCCUGCGGGUUGUAAAGUACUUUCAGCGGGGAGGCGUUACCCGCAGAAGAAGCACCGGCUAACUCCGUGCCAGCAGCCGCGGUAAUUC